rnacentral:lncRNA from 1 species
GAAGAUGAAGAAAGUGAGAAGAAUCUUCACAGUCUAACACUCUGAAGCAAUGAAGCAAGCAUGCUUCCUUAUGCUGUAUCCUCUUGUGAACUCGUAAAUCAGCGUUGUAUAAAAUAAGAAACAUCCUCUUGUGAACUCGUAAAUCAGCAUUGUAUAAAAUAUGAAAUAUCCUCUUGUGAACUCGUAAAUCAGCAUUGUAUAAAAUAUGAAAUAUCCUCUUGUGAACUCGUAAAUCAGCAUUGUAUUAAAUAUGAAAUAUGCCAUCAUGUGAG